GCAUCGGUUUAGCUCAGUGGUUACUUCUACAAACUCAACGUCUCUUGGACGAUCCGCGGGUUGUCAGGUUCGACUACGGGCGCUGUCCGAUGUUUUU
rnacentral:vault_RNA from 1 species